GACGAACGCUGGCGGCGUGCUUAACACAUGCAAGUCGAGCGGUAAGGCCCUUUCGGGGGUACGACGAGCGGCGAACGGGUGAGUAACACGUGGGUGACCUGCCCUCCAGCUCUGGGAUAAGCCUGGGAAACCGGGUCUAAUACUGGAUAUGACUCCAUGACGCAUGUUGUGGGGUGGAAAGCCCUGUGCGGCUGAGGAUGGGCCCGCGGCCUAUCAGCUUGUUGGUGGGGUGANGGCCUACCAAGGCGACGACGGGUAGCCGGCCUGAGAGGGCGACCGGCCACACUGGGACUGAGACACGGCCCAGACUCCUACGGGAGGCAGCAGUGGGGAAUCUUGCGCAAUGGGC
rnacentral:rRNA from 1 species